CUCCGCAGGCGCGCCACGGCCACCCGUCGCAGCCCACCUGUGCGGGCCACAGCCUCAGGAUAUCGCCGUUGGCUCGACCAGAACGCGACGCGCCGAAUUCGGCGCCGCGCUGCCGGCUACGCGCCCGCCCGCUGCUCGCUCCGCUCGCUCCGCACGCCCCCUUGCCCGCGCGGCGCCACAGCUCAGCCGACCGCCUGUUACGGCGCCCGCGCUUCCGAUUGGGGCGCUGGGCGGGCGACCGCGGGCGGAAGCGGUAGAGGUGGGAAGGCGGGGCCGCGGCGAGGAGGCUCGACGCCAGGAUGCUCUAGCCUGGGACUGGUCCUCGCGAGGCCUUUUGUAACUAAGGCCCGGUGUUGGGGCGAGGCUCACGAGCGCUUUCGCUGGUCCGGCAUCCAGGUCCGUAAAACGAGAGGUAGCGUGUGGCUCUUUGUGAGGCAAACUUACUGAACCAGUACUAGUCAAACUCUGAAGAUCUCAAGGACUUGCUCUGUUUUGUGCUUGCAUCUGUAAUGCCUACUGAAAUAGCCUCCAGAUGAAAACUCAGCUCAGCUGACCCCUUUAUUUCUGCUUCGUGAUUCACUGAGUAGAGGACCCAGUCACACCAUGCCGGACGUCAGAACUACGGAAUUGUUGCAGGACAGAAGACAAAAUCCAGUGCUUGGUGGAGAGACCUUUAUCGUUGCCAUUUGAGGAAAUCUUCUGACAUCUUCAACUGCUCUGUGAAAUCUACUAUAAUAUGCUAAUGAGAAGAAGGAGGCUUAAACUUCCAAGAUCACACAACAAUUUGUUGGAGGACCUAAGAAUUCAAACCCAGUUUUAUCUGUUAAGGAACAACUUCUCUGAGAAGCAGGAGUAAAACUUCAAUCGAUCAGCUGCUUAUUUCUUAAGGAAAAAUGAGUUUAUGAUAGUUCUGCUUGAUUUCAGAUUCUAAGAAAAAUCAGGAAAAACUUUACCCAAGAAAUUUCAUUGUUUGGGUUUGUGUGCUGAUGACUGAAGUAUGUCAAGUUGCUGUCCAGGUCAAGGCAAGAAAGGAGGUAAUGUGAUGUGAUGUUAAGACCACCUGGGAUUGAAGGUGACUAAGCCUGAAUGAGGAAUUUAUCUCUGAGACCCUCUCCCUUCCACAUUUUUUAUUUUGCAAGGGGGAAGAUGAGCAGCGGGCACAGCUGCACUAUAUAAGCUCUGAGAUGCAUCAUUUCCCAGUUCCUCUCCUGUGGUACAAACUCAUGGAUGUGAAGGGCACAUCUGGCUCUCAUCGGUCGCCCUCUGGAGGCUUGGAGCACAGGGAUCCAAUGCCAAGAUUCUCAUGUGACAUGAUUUCUCAGCGUGGUGGUGGAAGUCUAAUUACAAGCAUUGAUCUAAGACUGCAGGGACCAACCACGGAAAGAUCGCAGUACCAGUGAGUCAGAGAACUUCCUUUAAAAAUAUUUGUGGAUGCCUGGAAGUCUGGGCUAUUGUUUUCUACCUUUCCCAUAACAGUUUUCACCAGGGCUAUCUGCAUAUUCUGUUAUAUCCCAGCACGUGAAGCUGGCUGUGGGGGGCGGAUGGAGCAGGCAGACCUCCGAUGCUGCACUUAGCAGCCUCGAUUUCACGUGAGAAAUGUGUAGCUCUGCACACAGACCUCUUGCCUCUCCUUUCUUGCUGUCAGUAUUUACACGAAGAGUAAAUAACCCCAAGCAAAGAGCAAGUCAGCUUUUCACCUGCGACACCUCUGAGGGCUUUUUACAGCAGCCCCAGAGCUAGUUGAGGGAUCUGGCCUUGGAAGUCCCUUGACAACACUGAAUUCCAGGCUGUGGCACCAAUCAAUGAAGAUAAAGGCAACAAAAAAGAAUUCUUCUUCGCUGGAAGGUUUUAUUCCCUCCCCAAGUCAGGAAACAAAAAGGUAGUUUCUUGUCAAAAUUCUGCUUUUGUACAAAAAGAAAUCUAAAUGCAGUUAUUUUACUCAGUAGAGACUCACAUUAUGCCAGACCCAUAGGAGGCACUAAGUUAAGGGGCGGCUGCUACGGUCUCAGCGUUAUUCUUAAAACCCAAACAAAGAUAAAGAGCCUCAAGUAUCCAGUUUCUGAAGAGAGCGUCCAGAAAACUGCAGCCCUUCCCGCUGGGGAUUCCUGAGGGGUGAGGACCGUAUCUGCUACCAGCCUCCUGCCACACUCUAACCCAUGGGUUAUACAGAGAGAACGCUGGGAAGAGGGGCCCAGAGAGCUGUGAGCUCAGGGCACUGCAGUUUGGGUGCUAGCGACCUCACCAGCACCGCCAUCUCCCUAGGUCAAGUGUAGGAGACUCCACGAAAAUGCCUCACAAAGAUGGGGGGUUUCUGCAAGGAGAAGCUGGCUCUUAAUGCCUGCUGGGGCAUCUUCCCAAGCACUUGGGCUGCUCGUCUCUCACUUGGCUUGCACUUCAGGGAAAACAAACCAACAGUGGGUCUUCCCCAGGCAGCUGGGGAGCUGACAGCAGCCUGGCCCCUUGCCACCUGAGGUAGUAAGGUUUUGUGAUCUCUUGGGGGAGCUGGUGCUUAUCACAGGAAGAAGCCGGGCUUUAGCCGUCUUGUUCUCCUGCCCUUGCUAGGGUCACAGGACCCAUAAAGGGGCCAACUGCUGGUUAUGAGUUCCCAGACUGGAAGAUGUCAGGCAGAGCUGAAACUCGGAUUCAGAGAACUAUGUAGUGUGCAGGUACACAGGACCCUCUAAAGAACACUCAUGGACCCAUCAGGAGAGUCAGAGGGUCAAGACCUGUCUCAUAGGCCACUCAGUAUAAGCCAGAGAUGCAGACAACCAACAAGGGAAGAGCUGUGACCAGGGUACCAAGGAGGUAAAGAAGACUUCUAACUUUUCCUGACAUCCUUCUUGCCUGCAGAAACCAAGCAAUGGGGAGAACAGAAAAAGUCUAUGUCCCUCCUUCCAUUCCAGUGUUGGGGUUGAAGGAUGAGCAAAAAAUGAAUAUUUCCGGGUCCUUUGAUACACGUGUCAGGCCUCUGUGGGGAAGAGGAGAGCUUUCAACUGAUGAACAAGCAACUCACAGAGGUGACAUGAGUUGAAAACCUAAGUCGGUUCAAGGAGACUUGAGAAAAACCCACGCGCAGAACUUCAUUCAGUCACUGGGAACAUUAACAUGAUGAGGGAAACACAAGCCACACACUUCUCCAUGGAAUGGUCCAAAAAUGCUUCCCAGUGGGUCUGCACUCUGAAAGUGGAGAUUUGUAUAAGCAGAGAAGAGAGGGGAAGGCACGGCAUGCAGAUAUUGUGUUCAUCAAAAGAUAUAGUGGGCAAAGCCACAUGUAUAAACGGAAUUAAAUGUAUAAUAAUAGGUUCAGCAAGUACAGCUAAAACAAGAUAAAACUGCAUUUCUUCAAGACUGGGAUGAUGGGGCUCUCCUAUUUUGAUAUUGGCCUACAAUUCCCCUGGCUCUGUCAAGUCAAAGAAUCUCCCAUCCAGUCAUCAAAUCACAUGAUUAUUUUCCUUGGACAGGCAUGUGAAGUUCAGAUUUGCAGAGUGGAAUUCAAGGAAUAACUCAAAGCACAUUACUAGGGCACCACUUCUGAUGUCUACAUAUCCAGAAGGGAAGAUGACAACUAAACUCCAUUUGACAGUGCUGAUACUCAAGCUCCGGAAAUCCUCUGUCCCAAACGCAACAUCCUCCUUCAACCACUGCAAUCACCACCCUGUCGUCUUCUUCUCUGGCCAGGAUUCAUUCUGAGAAAGUAGUCGAGGAUCACCCUUCAUAGUGAUUUGUCCACCAUCUUCCUGGGACCUACACCUGAAUAUGGCUGGAUGGUAUAGUGUGAGCCACCUGACGUCAAAGCUGAGAGAGACAUGCCAUUUGCAGGCUAGACAUGCAUAUCACCGGUGCCAAUAUACAGACCUAUAAGGAAAUCAACAAGG